rnacentral:lncRNA from 1 species
GCGGGGCCAGUCGAGCACGCGGGUGAGUCGGGCCGGUUCGGCCCAUUUGGCCAGGCCGGUCCGUUUCUUCCUUUUUUUUUCUUUUUCUGUUUUUCCUUUAUAACUUUUGAUUUUGAACUCCAAAUCAAUUCAAAUAAAUCCCAGAAAAUUUGUAAAAUCAUAUUAUAAUAUGAUUCAACUUUUGGGACUAUAAAUCCUUCCAAAUAAAAUAUAUAAAAAUAGUUUUGUCCUAUAAAUGCCUUUGGGGCUUCAUAACUAUUUAAAUAAAAUAGCUUUUCAACUCCAAAUAGAUACCAAAAAAAUAUGGGGUAGCUCAUUUAUGAAAUAAACCCCUUUUAUGAUCAAAACCUUAUUGGUUUAAAAACCAAAACUCAAAUGGGUAAAAAGGCUAAGGUUU